AUGACCAUCGAUGACCGAUGGAAUAAAAUUAAACAAAUUAAAACUUGUUUUUGUUGCUUAAAGAGAGGCCACCAACUUAAAAAUUGCCACAAUAAGCGUCGUUGUGGCAUAAAUGAUUGCCAAAAAUCACACCACCAAUUGUUGCACAAAACACUCGCGACGCCAUCCCAGGAACCGAACCGAACAUUACCCACACACGAUUUGGAGCCACGAACGAACACCCCAUCUCUUCCCGACGCACCGCCGUCUCAAACACAACGAAGAAAUUGUCAUGCCGCCCACUACACCGAAAACGUACUGUUCCAGAUUUUGCCCGUGACGCUAUACGGAACACACAAACAAAUAACGACGUACGCGUUCAUUGACGACGGCGCCAAUGUGUCCAUGCUGGACGAGGACGUUGCUCGCGAACUCGGAGUACACGGGAAACCGGAGAUUUUAAAAAUUCAGUGGCUUAAUAACCAAAACAUAAACGAAAAAACAGAAAAAAUUAAUUUGACAAUUAGUGGUGUCGGUGAGUACAACAACAAGUACCCGAUAACCAAUGUUUACAUUUCGUCCAAUCUGUCAUUGCCAAUACAGAGUUGCCAGCUGGCUCAUUUAAUUAAAUCCCGUGAAAUCGACCAAAUCGCCGAAAUCCCAUUCCGGGAUUAUUCGAAUGUUCAACCUAAACUAAUAUUAAGCUUGCAACAUUCAUUUUUAACAGUUCCCUUGGAAGCUCCUCGUAUGAUGACCGAUGUUGGACCAAUCAUUACCCUAACGAGAUUAGGUGCCGUAAUUUAUGGACCGAUCCCAGGCGAGAAGAGUUCCAAUCUUAAGCGGGCUUUACACGUUAGGAAACGUUUCGAGGAAGAAAAUUGUGACUUGCUUAAGGAAAUGCAUACCAUGAUGCGGCAAUAUUUCGACGUGGAGACAUUGGGUACCAAGGUAAAUGUGACACCAAUUCUGUCCAUAGAUGAUGAACGAGCGUUAAAAAUAUUGAGAGAAAACACGAAAAGAAUCGAUGGGCGAUAUCAGUGUCCGCUUUUGUGGAAAGAACAUUUUUCUCCAAUUCCAGAAUCGUACAAUUUGUCGUACAACCGAUUGCAGUGUGUGGAACGAAAAAUGGCAAAGGACAGUGUAUAUGCAGCUCAAUAUUGCAAAAAGAUAAGAGACUACGAGGAAAAAGGAUAUUGCCGUAAACUUUCAGUAGCAGAACGAGAAAGAAGGAGCGACCGAACGUUUUAUUUGCCACAUUUUGGCGUUAAAAAUCCCAACAAAGAUGGAAUUCGUAUCGUCUUCGAUGCUGCUGCUGAAGUUCAACAAUUUUCAUUAAAUAAAGCCUUAUUACCUGGACCUGACAUAAAUAACUCUUUAAUCUCUAUUCUUUUUAAAUUCAGGGAAUUUCCUGUAGCCGUGUGCGGAGAUAUACAAGAGAUGUUCCACCAAAUUGUAAUCGCCAAAGAAGAUCAGGACAGUCAGCGAUUUCUAUGGAGAAAUGGGGAUCCCAGUCAACCCUUAGAAACUUAUGUAAUGGAACGGAUGAUUUUUGGAGCCACUUGUUCGCCCACCAUAGCCCAAUAUGUAAAAAACCUAAAUGCCCGAAGGUUUAUAAAUGAGUCGCCAAGAGCAGUACAAGGAAUCAUCGAUCGUCAUUACGUAGACGAUUACGUCGACUGUUUCCAGACUGAAGGUGAGGCAGUUGAAGUGGUACGUGAUGUCAUAAAAAUUCACAAAGAGGGUGGAUUUAAUCUCCGCAACAUCAAGUCUAAUUCCCUUGUUUUACAACGUAUGUUUGGCAACCCUAUUUCUGAUGAAAGUGAUGGCAACUCCAUUUUUGAUGAUGGAAUGGAACGGGUACUCGGUAUUCAUUGGCUGCCAAAAUCAGAUGUAUUUUGUUUUGAAUUAAAAUUACACAAAGUGGAUGAAAAGAUAUUGAAAUUGCAAAAAGUGCCAACGAAACGCGAAAUGUUGUCUUUAAAUAUGUCCGUAUUCGAUCCAUUCGGGUUUCUUGGUGAUUUUAUGGUGACGUCGAAGAUAAUUAUGCAAAAUGUGUGGAAAAGUGGUAUAAAGUGGGACGAGGAGUUGCCUUCCGCGAUUUAUAGCCGCUGGAAGACCUGGCUGGAGGAAUUGCCUAAAUUAAAGGAUUUCAAAGUUCCGAGGUGUUACAGUAAUGGAUUUUUUAAUGGUAUAGUAGAUUUGCAUGUGUUUGUGGAUGCCAGUGAAGAUGCAAUGGCUGCUGUGGCAUACUGGCGUAUAGUAACAAAUUGUGGUGUAAGUGUUGUGUUCGUUAUGGGCAAGACGAGCUGUGCCCCAACAAGAUACCAUACUAUACCUAAGCUUGAGUUGCAAGCAGCAGUAAUUGGAGUGCGAAUGAAGGAAAAAAUUUUGGAAAAUCAUUUGAAGAAUAUUAAUAACAUUUAUUUUUGGUCAGAUUCCUCAACAGUGAUAAGUUGGAUCCGUUCAGAACACCGUACAUACAAACAAUAUGUGGCAAAUAGAGUGUCGGAGAUUCUGGAAAGCAGCCGUAUGGAGCAGUGGCGGUGGUGUCCAGGAGCGGAAAACCCAGCUGACGAAGGGACCCGUGCUAAAGGACCCAAGAAGUACCAGCCAGAAGGACGUUGGAAAAAUGGGCCAGAAUUCCUGAGAAAAGAAGAGAAGUAUUGGCCGGACGAGGAACAAAUUGGAACAUGUGUGGAUCACAGCAAAACAGAGCUAAGAAACAAAUACAAAGUUUUGGUGGCUUGCCAGGUAUGUUUUUGUAUUCCAGAUAUUAAUAGAUUUUCAAAAUAUCGUAGGCUGAAACGGGCAAUGGCGUGGACAUUCCGAUUCGUUGAAAAUAUGAAGAGGAAAUCAGUGGUGCCGGGUGAUUUGACGGUGGAAGAAGAAGCACGGGCAGAAAUGUAUCUCUGUCGCUGCGUACAGCAAGAAGUAUAUGGGGAUGAAAUUCUUGACAUACAGAGAACUGGAUCAGUGUCUGCCAACAGCUCUAUAAAGUCUUUAAAUCCACAAAUUGGAAGUGAUGGUUUGCUUCGGGUAUCUGGAAGAAUAGAAAAUGCUGUUUUUUUGUCCCUGGAUACCAGACGACCAAUAAUUCUAAACAAAGGUCAUCGUUUUACACUUUUGCUGGUGGAAUUUUACCAUUCUCGUUUUUGUCACAUAAAUGUUGCCACUACAAUGAGCGAAAUUCGUCUGCGAUUUUGGAUUCCGUCACUUCGUCAACUUCUAAGAAGCGUUCAGUCCCGAUGUCUUGUCUGCAAGAUUCGUAAGGCCAAACCAAUUCAACCACAAAUGGCCCCGUUACCCUUGGAACGUGUCACACCUUAUGUCAGAGCCUUUACCUACACAGGACUUGACUAUUUUGGUCCUGUAACAGUGUCAAUCCGGAGACAACGAGAAAAGAGGUGGGUGGCACUGUUUACAUGCCUUACAGUUCGCGCUGUCCACUUGGAAAUUGCAACAGACCUGUCGAGUGAUUCCUGCCUAAUGUGUAUUCGGAACUUCAUCAAUCGAAGAGGCGUCCCAGAGAUGAUAAGAAGCGACAAUGGGACGAAUUUCGUUGGCAUAGCAAAGGAGCUGCAAGGUAUAACCAAUUUUUUAGAUACUAAUUCCGUUUCUUCUGGUCUGACAGCUCUUGGAAUAAAAUGGGUCUACAAUACGCCAGUGAAUCCCAGCGAAGGCGGAGUAUGGGAGCGUCUUGUCCAAUCUGUUAAGAAGGCUCUUUACAUCAUGCUAAAGGAGCAAGCCCCAAAACUGGAGACUCUACAAGCGUUCCUGAUUGAAGCGGAGAAUAUGGUCAACAGCAGGCCACUAACACAUUUGCCAGUUACUCCAGAGGACCCAGAUCCAUUGACUCCAAACCACUUUCUGCUUGGAUGUACCAAUUCAACCCAGACUCCAGCACCGUUUGAGCCUAGACUGAUGUGUUUAAGGAAGCAGUGGCGUGUCACCCAAAAUUUGAAGAAUGGCAUGUGGCAUCAGUGGCUUCGGGAAUAUCUUCCAGAAUUAACUCGAAGAACAAAAUGGUGUCUUCCUUCUCGGUCGUUGGAUGUUGGUUGCCUUGUGUUUGUUUGUGAUCCAGAGAUGGCUCGGAGUCAAUGGAGACGUGGACGAGUCAUCGAAGUAUUCAGGGGCAAAGACGGAGUGGCACGAUCAGCCAAGGUGAGAACGAGUGCCGGUGUAUACCACAGACCUGUGUCCAAACUUGCCAUUUUGGACGUGGAAGCGGCUGGAGACGGAGUUGGUGAAGCCUCCCCCUCUGGGUCAGUUCACGGGGGUGGGGAUGUUGGAGAUGGUAACCCUGCAAUUACCAAAGCUAAAAAAGUGUAGCCAAAUUUGAAAUACCACUGUUAUAAAUGGCCGAAAUAUCCCAAGCGAAGAGGGAGACGAAACUAAAUUUAAGCCAACAUCUUCAUUUUGUUUAUUUUUGUUGUUUUGCUUAAUGUCACUUUUUAUAUAAAUAGGCCCUUAUGGCCAUUGUUUAUUCCCUUUUUUGUUAGAACCCAAAAAUAAAGAAUAAACAACGACAACUAAACUCACUAUUUGUAAACAAACAAACCAAAUAAACGCAGCUUUUUAUUUUGCCGAAA